rnacentral:rRNA from 1 species
AGAGUUUGAUCCUGGCUCAGAUUGAACGCUGGCGGCAGGCCUAACACAUGCAAGUCGAACGGUAACAGGAAGCAGCUUGCUGCUUUGCUGACGAGUGGCGGACGGGUGAGUAAUGUCUGGGAAACUGCCUGAUGGAGGGGGAUAACUACUGGAAACGGUGGCUAAUACCGCAUAACGUCGCAAGACCAAAGAGGGGGACCUUCGGGCCUCUUGCCAUCAGAUGUGCCCAGAUGGGAUUAGCUAGUUGGUGAGGUAACGGCUCACCAAGGCGACGAUCCCUAGCUGGUCUGAGAGGAUGACCAGCCACACUGGAACUGAGACACGGUCCAGACUCCUACGGGAGGCAGCAGUGGGGAAUAUUGCACAAUGGGCGCAAGCCUGAUGCAGCCAUGCCGCGUGUAUGAAGAAGGCCUUCGGGUUGUAAAGUACUUUCAGCGGGGAGGAAGGUGUUGUGGUUAAUAACCACAGCAAUUGACGUUACCCGCAGAAGAAGCACCGGCUAACUCCGUGCCAGCAGCCGCGGUAAUACGGAGGGUGCAAGCGUUAAUCGGAAUUACUGGGCGUAAAGCGCACGCAGGCGGUCUGUCAAGUCGGAUGUGAAAUCCCCGGGCUCAACCUGGGAACUGCAUUCGAAACUGGCAGGCUUGAGUCUUGUAGAGGGGAGUAGAAUUCCAGGUGUAGCGGUGAAAUGCGUAGAGAUCUGGAGGAAUACCGGUGGCGAAGGCGGCCCCCUGGACAAAGACUGACGCUCAGGUGCGAAAGCGUGGGGGAGCAAACAGGAUUAGAUACCCUGGUAGUCCACGCCGUAAACGAUGUCUACUUGGAGGUUGUGCCCUUGAGGCGUGGCUUCCGGAGCUAACGCGUUAAGUAGACCGCCUGGGGAGUACGGCCGCAAGGUUAAAACUCAAAUGAAUUGACGGGGGCCCGCACAAGCGGUGGAGCAUGUGGUUUAAUUCGAUGCAACGCGAAGAACCUUACCUGGUCUUGACAUCCACAGAAGAAUCCAGAGAUGGAUUUGUGCCUUCGGGAACUGUGAGACAGGUGCUGCAUGGCUGUCGUCAGCUCGUGUUGUGAAAUGUUGGGUUAAGUCCCGCAACGAGCGCAACCCUUAUCCUUUGUUGCCAGCGAUUAGGUCGGGAACUCAAAGGAGACUGCCAGUGAUAAACUGGAGGAAGGUGGGGAUGACGUCAAGUCAUCAUGGCCCUUACGACCAGGGCUACACACGUGCUACAAUGGCGCAUACAAAGAGAAGCGACCUCGCGAGAGCAAGCGGACCUCAUAAAGUGCGUCGUAGUCCGGAUUGGAGUCUGCAACUCGACUCCAUGAAGUCGGAAUCGCUAGUAAUCGUGGAUCAGAAUGCCACGGUGAAUACGUUCCCGGGCCUUGUACACACCGCCCGUCACACCAUGGGAGUGGGUUGCAAAAGAAGUAGGUAGCUUAACCUUCGGGAGGGCGCUUACCACUUUGUGAUUCAUGACUGGGGUGAAGUCGUAACAAGGUAACC